AACCGAAACACCAUAAAUAUAGUAUUACAACAACAAAGAACGGCUGUUGCAACAACAUGUAACAACUAAUACAACAACAUAGAUUGAACCAUUAGAUGGAGCAACUGAAACACCAUAGACAUAGUAUUACAACAACAUCGACCAACUGUUGCAACAACAUGCAACAACUAAUACAACAGUGCAGAUUAAAGCAUUGGAUGGAGCAACUAAAACACCAUGGACAUAGUACACAACAACACCGAACAAAUGUUGUAACAACAUAAAACAAACUACUACAACAUGCAGACUGGAGCAACUGAAACAACAUCUCAAAACACAAAACUGCAACAACGACUAAAACCUACUGCAACGUCUAGAUAGAACCAUUGCAACAAUGACGAGAUCUGAACCCGAGAGCUCGCUGGAACCUGAAAAACAUACUGCAAAAAACCAGAGAACACCGUUACAACACGUACGAGCACUGAAUCCCAAGAGCUCGCCGAAACCCUGGCCAACACAAUAUCCCGUAGAUCUAGAUCCGGAGGAAGAGCAGGAGGAGCAAGAGGUGGAGGAGCAGAGGAGGGCUCAGAUCCAGAUCCACAAAGAGGAGAGAGGGAAAAGAGAGAGAAAGGCUUCAGAUCCAAAUCCCUCCCCACCUACCUCGUCGGAGCCGCGUCGUUGUCUCCAUCUCCAGAUGCAUGGAGGUCACGAGAGCGAGGAGAAAGAGCAGAGAGGAAGGGAGUUGCGCCGCUCACUGAAAGCUGCCACCGUCGUGCUCUACUCCGGAGGCAUGGAGAGCGUGUGGGUCGCAGCGAGGAGGAAGGGAGAAAAGGGGGGAGGAGCGGUUCGCGCAUGGCAGAAAGUGCGGCCGCAUGUGCGAGCGGUGGAAGUGGCAGCGAGAUGUGAGAGAAGAGUGGAGAUGAAAAAAAUGAGUGGAUGGGAAG
rnacentral:lncRNA from 1 species